GGAAAAAUAUGUGGUGCUAAUAUCCAAACAUUUCUUCUGGAAAAGUCUAGAGUUGUCCAAUGCAAUGAACGUGAAAGGUCCUAUCAUAUAUUUUAUCAGCUAUGUGCUAGGGCGCCACCAUCUCUAAGGGAGAAGUUAAAUCUAAGAAGUGUUGAAGACUACAAAUAUCUUAGGCAGAGCAAUUAUUACUCAAUUAUUGGUGUUAAUGAUGUAGAA